AGUGAACGCUGGCGGUAGGCCUAACACAUGCAAGUCGAACGGCAGCACAGUAAGAGCUUGCUCUUACGGGUGGCGAGUGGCGGACGGGUGAGGAAUACAUCGGAAUCUACUUUUUCGUGGGGGAUAACGUAGGGAAACUUACGCUAAUACCGCAUACGACCUACGGGUGAAGGCAGGGGAUCUUCGGACCUUGCGCGAUUGAAUGAGCCGAUGUCGGAUUAGCUAGUUGGCGGGGUAAAGGCCCACCAAGGCGACGAUCCGUUGCUGGUCUGAGAGGAUGAUCAGCCACACUGGAACUGAGACACGGUCCAGACUCCUACGGGAGGCAGCAGUGGGGAAUAUUGGACAAUGGGCGCAAGCCUGAUCCAGCCACACCGCGUGGGUGAAGAAGGCCUUCGGGUUGUAAAGCCCUUUUGUUGGGAAAGAAAAGCAGCAGGUUAAUACCCCGCUGUUCUGACGGUACCCAAAGAAUAAGCACCGGCUAACUUCGUG
rnacentral:rRNA from 1 species